UACGUAGGGUGCGAGCGUUGUCCGGAAUUACUGGGCGUAACGAGCUCGUAGGCGGUUUGUCACGUCGUCUGUGAAAUCCUCCAGCUUAACUGGGGGCGUGCAGGCGAUACGGGCAGACUUGAGUACUACAGGGGAGACUGGAAUUCCUGGUGUAGCGGUGAAAUGCGCAGAUAUCAGGAGGAACGCCGGUGGCGAAGGCGGGUCUCUGGGUAGUAACUGACGCUGAGGAGCGAAAGCAUGGGUAGCGAACAGGAUUAGAUACCCCGGUAGU
rnacentral:rRNA from 1 species